rnacentral:rRNA from 1 species
ACAUUUGAGUGAGUGGCGAACUGGUGAGUAACACGUGGGAAACCUGCCCAGAAGCGGGGGAUAACACCUGGAAACAGAUGCUAAUACCGCAUAACAACUUGGACCGCAUGGUCCGAGUUGAAAGAUGGCUUCGGCUAUCACUUUGGAUGGUCCCGCGGCGUAUUAGCUAGAUGGUGGUAACGGCUCACCAUGGCAAUGAUACGUAGCCGACCUGAGAGGGUAAUCGGCCACAUUGGGACUGAGACACGGCCCAAACUCCUACGGGAGGCAGCAGUAGGGAAUCUUCCACAAUGGACGAAAGUCUGAUGGAGCAACGCCGCGUGAGUGAAGAAGGGUUUCGGCUCGUAAAACUCUGUUGUUAAAGAAGAACAUAUCUGAGAGUAACUGUUCAGGUAUUGACGGUAUUUAACCAGAAAGCCACGGCUAACUACGUGCCAGCAGCCGCGGUAAUACUAGGUGGCAAGCGUUGUCCGGAUUUAUUGGGCGUAAAGCGAGCGCAGGCGGUUUUUUAAGUCUGAUGUGAAAGCCUUCGGCUC